rnacentral:lncRNA from 1 species
UUGCAAUAGAAGGUUGGGAUACAGAUAUUUCGACCUAAAGCUACUAGUCCGUACCAUAACAGUUUGUUUGGUGAUGUUAUGUAAGGUUGUCUGAAUUCUUCUUCCUUCUAUGGAUCACAGAAAAACUGUUAUGUAAGGUCGAAACUCCAAAAUCAGCCAAAUCCCCAACAAAGAGAGAGGAAUAAACAAGUGUUAAAAUCAAUCAAAACAAAUAAUCCAUCAAAACCCUAAAAUUUCAUAUAUCCCCAAAUUGAAAAUGCUAAAGGAUAAAACUACAUAUCUGCACAAAAUUGGAUAAACAACAAGUAGAGAAGAUGUGGAGGACUAUCCUUCAU